rnacentral:rRNA from 1 species
GAUCCUGGCUCAGGAUGAACGCUAGCUACAGGCUUAACACAUGCAAGUCGAGGGGCAGCAUGGUCUUAGCUUGCUAAGACUGAUGGCGACCGGCGCACGGGUGAGUAACACGUAUCCAACCUGCCGUCUACUCUUGGACAGCCUUCUGAAAGGAAGAUUAAUACAAGAUGGCAUCAUGAGUCCGCAUGUUCAUAUGAUUAAAGGUAUUCCGGUAGACGGAGGU